AGCCGGGUUUCCGGUCCAAACCGGGCAGCGACGCGUUUCUCUGAUUCCAUCUGGUUCCAGGAGAUGAUCCUGAAUUUAACUAUUAUAGCAGCAGCAAAAAAAAAAUAAAAAAUCAGCACAGCAGCAGACGGCGGCCUGGCUUUUGUUGUCCCUCCGCUCCCCCUUCCGCAGCCUUUGCGAGCUCGCCUCUGGUUUCAUACAGGCGUGUGAGAAGAAAAUGCCGAGACGUAUAGCAUUCGGCUGAUAGUAGCUUGGUAGGUACCACACUCAAACCCCACUUUACUGCCAUCGUGUCCCUGAGCAAGACUGUGGAACUCCAAAAUGUUCUAAAGGAAUUAGAUAAUUGUGACAUAAUAAGACAACCAUAUGAAUAAAUACGAGACGGAUAUAUAUCAAAAUGAAAUUGACAACUGAACACAUUUGAUAUACAGCUGAAAUAUAUUGUGAAAGUGAAUUGAAUGUCAUUGUGAUACAUAGCAGCACAG
ensembl:lncRNA